GAUGAACGCUAGCGGCAGGCUUAACACAUGCAAGUCGAGGGGUAGAAAUAGCUUGCUAUUUUGAGACCGGCGCACGGGUGCGUAACGCGUAUGCAAUCUGCCUUGUACUGGGGAAUAGCCCGGAGAAAUCCGGAUUAAUGCCCCAUGGUAUUUUUGUGUGGCAUCACACGAUUAUUAAAGAUUUAUCGGUACAAGAUGAGCAUGCGUCCCAUUAGUUAGUUGGUGUGGUAACGGCACACCAAGACGAUGAUGGGUAGGGGUCCUGAGAGGGAGGUCCCCCACACUGGUACUGAGACACGGACCAGACUCCUACGGGAGGCAGCAGUGAGGAAUAUUGGUCAAUGGGCGCAAGCCUGAACCAGCCAUGCCGCGUGCAGGAUGACGGCCCUAUGGGUUGUAAACUGCUUUUAUACGGGAAGAAACACCUCUUCGUGAAGAGGCUUGACGGUACCGUAAGAAUAAGGAUCGGCUAACUCCGUGCCAGCAGCCGCAGUAAGAC
rnacentral:rRNA from 1 species